rnacentral:rRNA from 1 species
CGACAAGUUGCAAAGAGCAUCAGGUGGAUGCCUUGGCGUCGGAAGGCGAAGAAAGACGUGGUAAGCUGCGAUAAGCCUCGGGGAGGAGCUAAACAUCCUGUGAUCCGGGGAUCUCUGAAUGGGGAAACCCGCCGGGGGCAAUGCCCCGGCAUCCCGGCAUGAAUACAUAGUGCCCGGAGGCCAACUCGGGGAAGUGAAACAUCUCAGUACCCGAAGGAAAGGAAAUCAAACGAGACUCCCUCAGUAGCGGCGAGCGAAGGGGGAAGAGCCCAAACCGGUCGGACCCGUCCGGCCGGGGUUGCAGGGCCGCCAAACGCGAUUCGCGAGUAGGCAGGGGAAGGAAGCUGGAAAGCUUCGCCAGAGCGGGUGACAGCCCCGUACCCGAAACCGGAAGCGACGCAGGCGGUACCUAAGUACCGCGAGGCACGUGGAACCUCGUGGGAAUCCGGGAGGACCAUCUUCCAAGGCUAAGUACUAUCCGACGACCGAUAGUGAACCAGUACCGUGAGGGAAAGGUGAAAAGAACCCCUGUCAGGGGAGUGAAACAGAAUCUGAAACCAGGUGCUCACAAGCUGCGAGAGCCCCCAUGUGGGGUGAUCGCGUGCCUUUUGCAUAAUGAGUCAGCGAGUUGAUCUGUACUGCGAGGUUAAGCGUACGCGGAGCCGUAGUGAAAGCGAGCCUGAAGAGGGCGCAAGUAGUGCGGAUCAGACCCGAAACCGGGUGAUCUAUCCAUGAGCAGGUUGAAGCAAGGGUAAAGCCUUGUGGAGGACCGAACCGCCAACGGCUGAAAACGUUCCGGAUGACUUGUGGAUAGGGGUGAAAGGCCAAUCAAACCCGGUGAUAGCUGGUUCUCCCCGAAAUAUAUUGAGGUAUAGCCUCGUGGAUUGUCUGACGGAGGUAAAGCACUGACAGAGCUAGGGGUCCUACCAGAUUACCAAACUCUUUCAAACUCAGAAUGCCGUCCAGAUGUACCACGGGAGUCAGACAGCGGGUGCUAAGGUCCGUUGUCGAGAGGGUAAGAGCCCAGACCAACAGCUAAGGCCUCCAAAUGCAUGCUCAGUGGUUAAGGUGGUGACGUUGUAGAGACACCCAGGACGUUGGCUUAGAAGCAGCCAUCGUUUAAAGAAAGCGUAAUAGCUCACUGGUCUAAUGACGUUGCGCCGAAAAUGUAACGGGGCUAAGCAUGCUGCCGAAGCUUUGGAUUCCGCGUGAGCGGUCUGGUAGGGGAGCGUUCCCUGCGGGCUGAAGCUGCACCAAAAGGUGUGGUGGACUGCAGGGAAGUGAUUAUGCUGACAUGAGUAACGAUAAAACGGGUGAAAAACCCGUUCGCCGUAAACCCAAGGUUUCCUGGGUAAAGGUAAUCUUCCCAGGGUUAGUCGGCCCCUAAGGCGAGGCGGAA